AUUGAACGCUGGCGGCAGGCCUAACACAUGCAAGUCGAGCGAGCGGCGGACGGGUGAGUAAUGUAUGGGGACUGCCCGAUAGAGGGGGAUAACUACUGGAAACGGUGGCUAAUACCGCAUACUAUCGGAUAACCCAUAUGGGAUUAGCUAGUAGGUGGGGUAAAGGCUCACCUAGGCGACGAUCUCUAGCUGGUCUGAGAGGAUGAUCAGCCAAACGUGGACGGGAGAACGGCCCAGAAUCCUACGGAGGCAGGAGUGGGGAAUAUUGGACAAUGGGCGCAAGCCUGAAUGAGCCAUGCCGCGUGGAUGAAGGAGGCCGUUGGGUUGUAAAGGACCUUCAGCGGGGAGGCGUUACCCGCAGAAGAAGCACCGGCUAACUCCGUGCCAGCAGCCGCGGUAAUUC
rnacentral:rRNA from 1 species